rnacentral:rRNA from 1 species
UGAGGAAUAUUGGUCAAUGGGCGAGAGCCUGAACCAGCCAAGUAGCGUGCAGGAUGACGGCCCUAUGGGUUGUAAACUGCUUUUAUGUGGGGAUAAAGUGCGUGACGUGUCAUGCAUUGCAGGUACCACCUGAAUAAGGACCGGCUAAUUCCGUGCCAGCAGCCGCGGUAAUACGGAAGGUCCGGGCGUUAUCCGGAUUUAUUGGGUUUAAAGGGAGCGUAGGCUGUCUAUUAAGCGUGUUGUGAAAUUUACCGGCUCAACCGGUGGCUUGCAGCGCGAACUGGUCGACUUGAGUAUGCAGGAAGUAGGCGGAAUUCAUGGUGUAGCGGUGAAAUGCUUAGAUAUCAUGACGAACUCCGAUUGCGCAGGCAGCUUACUGUAGCAUAACUGACGCUGAUGCUCGAAAGUGCGGGUAUCAAACAGG